rnacentral:rRNA from 1 species
AGUGAACGCUGGCGGUAGGCCUAACACACGCAAGUCGAACGGCAGCACAGGAGAGCUUGCUCUCUGGGUGGCGAGUGGCGGACGGGUGAGGAAUACAUCGGAAUCUACCUUUUCGUGGGGGAUAACGUAGGGAAACUUACGCUAAUACCGCAUACGACCUACGGGUGAAAGUGGGGGACCGCAAGGCCUCACGCGAUUAGAUGGGCCGAUGUCCGAUUAGCUAGUUGGCGGGGUAAUGGCCCAACAAGGCGACGAUCGGUAGCUGGUCAGAGAGGAUGAUCAGCCACACUGGAACUGAGACACGGUCCAGACUCCUACGGGAGGCAGCAGUGGGGAAUAUUGGACAAUGGGCGCAAGCCUGAUCCAGCCAUACCGCGUGGGUGAAGAAGGCCUUCGGGCUGUAAAGCCCUUUUGUUGGGAAAGAAAUCCUGUCGAUUAAUACUCGGUGGGGAUGACGGUACCCAAAGAAUAAGCACCGGCUAACUUCGUGCCAGCAGCCGCGGUAAAAC